UUAACUAAAAUUUGUAUGGAGUUGGAACUUUUGCGUACGUUUGCCGCUAGGGGCGCUGUUCCAACUGCAUACAAAUUUGAGUUA
rfam:Bombyx mori DNA, contig: Bm_scaf59_contig28676, strain: p50T/Dazao, build 2, whole genome shotgun sequence.